GGGGCUGUAACUCAGCGGCAGAGUGCUUGCCUAGCAUGCAUGAGGCACUGGGUUGGAUUCUCAGCACCA
rfam:Ictidomys tridecemlineatus contig090979, whole genome shotgun sequence.